ACAUAAGGCACCUCGUUAAUUUAGUUUAGUGGUAUUUAUUAAAUUAUACGAAAGUGUCUUAUUUUUUUAAAGUAUUUCAAAGUAAAAUUACAUGUUAAUACGUAGUAU
rnacentral:sRNA from 1 species